AUCAGGGGUAAACCUGUGGAACUCGAACGAACGAACGGGGAGAUUCAACGUAUUUCCGUUUACGGGUCCGCGAUUCUCGCGAUGGCGGUCGUGGCGUCGUUUACGCGACGUUUACGCGCCGUUAUCGCCCGCAUCGUGGCACGGCCCGCGGAGUGCGUGCACUUCUCCCUUAGUAAAACACCGCGACCCGUUCGUUGUGUCGAUCGAACGCGCCGUGCGGCCGUCCCGCAUCUCGUUUAAACGCGACGGUGCGGAGCCGCGGUGUCGCGAUCGACGACGGACGGUAGAGAACGAGGUUCGCGUUCGCCCCCCAAAGUUUUUUACUUGCGGGCGUCCGUGUCGCGAACCGAACGGGCCCCGUACGUGCCUCGGCGUUAACGCGUCGUGGGUCGCGUGCGUAGGUUUGCCCGUUCGCAGCGUUGCGAUAUCUCGGACGGAACGCGUCCCGGUCGGCGGUGGUUUUGUUUCGGGCACUCACAGGACCCGUCUUGAAAC
rnacentral:rRNA from 1 species